GAUGAACGCUAGCUACAGGCUUAACACAUGCAAGUCGCGGGGCAUCAUGGAGGUUGCUUGCAAUUUCUGAUGGCGACCGGCGCACGGGUGAGUAACGCGUAUCCAACCUUCCCAUUACUACGGCAUACCCCGUUGAAAGGCGGCCUAAUUCCGUAUGCAGUCCGAAGCAGUCAUCUAAUUUGGACGAAAGGUAUAUUCUAUCGGUAAUGGAUGGGGAUGCGUCCGAUUAGCCAGCCGGCGGGGUAACGGCCCACCGGGGCAUUGAUCGGUAGGGGUUCUGAGAGGAAGGUCCCCCACACUGGAACUGAGACACGGUCCAGACUCCUACGGGAGGCAGCAGUGAGGAAUAUUGGUCAAUGGGCGUAAGCCUGAACCAGCCAAGUAGCGUGCAGGAUGACGGCCCUAUGGGUUGUAAACUGCUUUUAUGCGGGGAUAAAGUUGGGGACGUGUCCCUUUUUGCAGGUACCGCAUGAAUAAGGACCGGCUAAUUCCGUGCCAGCAGCCGCGGUAAUACGGAAGGUCCGGGCGUUAUCCGGAUUUAUUGGGUUUAAAGGGAGCGUAGGCAGUUUUUUAAGCGUGCUGUGAAAUGUACCGGCUCAACCGGUGAUGUGCAGCGCGAACUGGGAAUCUUGAGUGCGCAGUAAGCAGGCGGAAUUCGUGGUGUAGCGGUGAAAUGCUUAGAUAUCACGAAGAACUCCGAUUGCGUAGGCAGCUUGCUGUAGCGUAACUGACGCUGAAGCUCGAAAGUGCGGGUAUCGAACAGG
rnacentral:rRNA from 1 species